GACGUAGGGCGCGAGCGUUGUCCGGAUUGAUUGGGCGUAAAGAGCUCGUAGGCGGCUCGUUGCGUCGGCUGUGAAAACCCGCAGCUCAACUGUGGGCCUGCAGCUGAUACGGGCGGGCUGGAGUUCGGUAGGGGAGACUGGAAUUCCUGGUGUAGCGGUGAAAUGCGCAGAUAUCAGGAGGAACACCUGCGGCGAAGGCGGGUUGCUGGGCUGACACUGACGCUGAAGCGCGAAAGCUAGGGGAGCGAACGGG
rnacentral:rRNA from 1 species